rnacentral:rRNA from 1 species
GCAUAUCAAUAAGCGGAGGAAAAGAAACCAACAGGGAUUGCCCUAGUAACGGCGAGCGAAGCGGCAACAGCUCAAAUUUGAAAUCUGGCUAUUUUGUAGUCCGAGUUGUAAUUUGUAGAGGAUGCUUUUGGUGAGGUGCCUUCCGAGUUCCCUGGAACGGGACGCCAGAGAGGGUGAGAGCCCCGUACGGUUGGAUACCAAACCUUUGUAUAGCUCCUUCGACGAGUCGAGUAGUUUGGGAAUGCUGCUCUAAAUGGGAGGUAUAUCUCUUCUAAAGCUAAAUAUAGGCUAGAGACCGAUAGCGCACAAGUAGAGUGAUCGAAAGAUGAAAAGCACUUUGAAAAGAGAGUUAAACAGCACGUGAAAUUGUUGAAAGGGAAGCGCCUAUGACCAGACUUGUUUCUUUCAGUUUUGUUAGUUUUCGGACUGAUUUACUCUGUUAGUACAGGCCAGCAUCAGUUUGUUGUCAGGGAGAAAGGCUUAGGGAAUGUGGCUCUUUCGGGAGUGUUAUAGCCCUUUGCAUAAUACCUUUCGGCAGACUGAGGACCGCGCUUCGGCAAGGAUGCUGGCGUAAUGGUCAUCAGCGACCCGUCUUGAAACACGGACCAAGGAGUCAACCUUAUGUGCGAGUGUUUGGGUGUAAAACCCCAGCGCGUAAUGAACGUGAACGUAGGUGAGAGCUUCGGCGCAUCAUCGACCGAUUCUGAUGUUCUCGGAUGGAUUUGAGUAAGAGCACACAGGGUUGGACCCGAAAGAAGGUGAACUAUGCUUGUAUAGGGUGAAGCCAGAGGAAACUCUGGUGGAGGCUCGCAGCGGUUCUGACGUGCAAAUCGAUCGUCAAAUAUGAGCAUGGGGGCGAAAGACUAAUCGAACCUUCUAGUAGCUGGUUCCAGCCGA